ACCUGUCUUCAGUCAAGGGUAUAUCAGUAGCUGCGCUCCCCUGCUAGAACCUCCAAACAAGCUCUCAAGGUCCAUUCUAGGAACAUAGGGUAGUAAAGC
rnacentral:sRNA from 14 species